UACGUAGGGGGCUAGCGUUGUUCGGAAUCACUGGGCGUAAAGGGCGCGUAGGCGGCUUUGUACGUCGGGGGUGAAAGCCUGUGGCUCAACCACAGAAUUGCCUUCGAUACUGCAUGGCUUGAGACCGGAAGAGGUAAGUGGAACUGCGAGUGUAGAGGUGAAAUUCGUAGAUAUUCGCAAGAACACCAGUGGCGAAGGCGGCUUACUGGUCCGGAUCUGACGCUGAGGCGCGAAAGCGUGGGGAGCAAACAGG
rnacentral:rRNA from 1 species